rnacentral:lncRNA from 1 species
GUGGAAAAGACAUUGAUAUGAUAUUUAUGUUUUUUUGUUUUGGAUUGGCUUCUGCAUCAAGAGUUUUUACUAAGGUUUUAAAACCUGUCUAUGUAUUUAUGAAAUAAUGUCACUUGAAGUAUAUACAUGCUAUAGUUUAUACAUUGAUGAUUAUUUUAUUAUGGAUCAGAGUUUAGAUGAUUGUAUUGUGAAUACAGAAGAAGUGGUGCAAAUGCUUGAUAAGCUGUGCUUCAGAAAAAUUUUGAGAAGUUGGUACUCAUUCCUUGGAAGCACAUUGUUUUCCUUUGUCUCAUUAUUGAUACUGAGCUAUUUAAGUUUUUUCUGACAGAUGAGAAAUGGUAAAAUUAUCUCCCUUGGGAAAUUCUUUUUAAAUAGAAUUGUGUAACGGUAUUAUAGAUGUUUUACAUCAUUUAUUGGUCUUGUGAUGAAUGCUUUUAAUGCAGUAUCUGUGGCAUGCAUGGGAAUGUUACAUUGCAGAAACAUGGCGAGAAAUAAUGUUGAAACACUGUAUAGUUGUUACAGUGUUUAUUAUCAUCAAUAGGUGAAAUUUUUUAACAAUUUAAAAUCAGAAAUUAAAAAUUUGAUUUAUAGACCCAUCCAAAUAAGUUUUUGGGUUGUACCAGAUUCCUCUGACAUAAGGAUUUGGGAUCCAAAUUUGAAGAAAAUGUUUCUGUUGGUAGACGGAGCUUCUUUAAGAGUAUGCACUCAUUUCAUAUAGAUUUCAUAGUAUUGUUGGCUAUAAUAUUCUUCUGGAGAAAAAGUUUUAGUCACAGAGAGUUAUACAAUCAGAAGAUACAAUUUCAGUAGCUUUUAUUAUGCAAUAGGAGGUGUAACCUCUUUGUCACUUAACAUGCUUACUACAAAUAUUUCAUUAUUUGGGCUUGGUGUUCAAGAAAGAACAUUUUUAUCACAGCUCUUUAUAUUCCUGGUAAGAAAAUUUUUGAUGCUUAUCAUAUGUCUAAAAAAUUUACAGAUUCAAAAGGAUGUCAAUUGAAAGAAGAUAUAUUUGUUUUGUUGUUAUUACGUUUUCAUUUUCAAUCUGUAGAUAAUUACUUCGUUGUCUUUUGACCAACAAGCUCCUU